rnacentral:rRNA from 1 species
UACGUAGGGUGCGAGCGUUGUCCGGAAUUAUUGGGCGUAAAGAGCUCGUAGGCGGUGUGUCGCGUCGGCCGUGAAAACCUGGGGCUCAACUCUGGGCGUGCGGUCGAUACGGGCAUCACUUGAGUUCGGCAGGGGAAACUGGAAUUCCUGGUGUAGCGGUGAAAUGCGCAGAUAUCAGGAGGAACACCGGUGGCGAAGGCGGGUCUCUGGGCCGAUACUGACGCUGAGGAGCGAAAGCAUGGGUAGCGAACAGG